GGAUACUGCCACAUCUUCAUGAACCACUGACUAAAAUAGUGCUAUUUGUCCCCCUUGAAAUAUCAGCCUUAUUGGAAGUUCAUUAUGAACUAAACUACCUUUUCUUGAUUAGUUUGUUCUAAAAACAUUAAGUGAUCUGGAAAAGUAUGAUAGAAAAUAUCUAGAAAAUACUGCCCUAGUAGGGAUACUAUUAUCCACAUCCUACGCAUAUUUUAUCUGUUGCUUUCUAACAAUUUGAUUUUCGUUUGUUAUGUAGAUACAAAUUGUUGAUAUCCAUGAUUGUGACAUAUAAGGAGAAUCUUCAAGGAUUAGACAUUGUCUUGCUGUCUUUGAAAGCAGAUACAGAAUUACAUGGGACUCUGAUUGUAAUCAUCUGUUAAAAAGACAUGUCAAGGGAAUCAGCUUUCUCCAAGAAAGGUGUAGCUUCACACAGCUUUUGCCCAUUUAAAAUGAGAUUACUGGGAUUUUCUCUACCUUGUCACUUCAACAAUGUCACAUUUGAUACUUCUGUCUGCUGGCUUCCACACCUCCACUGGAUCAGGAGUAUCUUCACUUUGAAACAAAUCAUGUGUUAUUCCCAAACUAGCUAAUGUUUAUUUCUUGAACUUUCACUAUUUGGAAUUAUCCUCUGUUGCUGCUCCUUCUAUCACUUUGUUUGAAUCACCUUUGGCACUCUUCAAGGAGAUCUUGAAAUAAUAAGCUUCUAAAAACAAGCAAGCAGCUCAAACAAAAAUUACUUGGCAGCAAGUGGGUUUUUUUUCCUCAGAUUUUCUGCAGAUGGUGAACAGAGAACAGCAUGGAUUGUCAACCAACAUGAACAUUCUUAGUCUUGAGGAUUUGAUGGAAUGUAUAAAUAACUACAGCAAGACCUAGCACCCAUUCACUUUGAACAGAAAUUACCAAAUUCAAAAGCAUCUAGGAGCUUCUGAAUGUCCAUAGGAACAAUGAUAAACUGUCACUAUAUAUCAAGGUACAUACUGUAAAAUAGGAAAUAAAUUCUACUGAUCCAACUUCUAUUAGUAUUUGCUUCAUGAUUCAAUGUAAUUAUGAUAUUAGAUUAAAAAAAUAAUGAUUCCCUUUGCACGUAGUAAUUCAAUUGUUUCUACUACUCAGUGGGGAAUAAAAAAAUACUUUUACUGUCAUAUAACUGUGUCAUUUGCCAGAACACAUUCAAAACACAGGUGAG
ensembl:lncRNA